CUCCUCUUCAAGAAAUAAUUUCUCAAAAAACACUCUCAACUCUCUCCCCUUUCCUGGGCACUGCCCAGAAGCCGGCCAACGCCGCCGCCGUACGGUGGCUGUAAAAAUAAAAAGGUGAGCAGUUGGGCGGUGGCAGAGAGCAGGUGGCAGCAGCAAGUGGUGCUAGGGUUUCAGUCUAGUUUGACUGCUAGGGUUAAUGUGGUUUUGGGCCUAUCGGGCUCCGAGUUAAGUUUAGUCUGUUGGGCUAGGGGGUUUUGGGCCGUUUGGGCCGGGGCAAAAUUGUGUUGUACAGAAAUGAUAAAAUCCAAGGUUUAACUACUAUGAUGUUAGUUCAAAUGUUGUUAUGCAUCAGUUUUUUAUAUAAAACAUAAACAGUUAAAAAUAUGUUUGUAAUAAUAUAUAUUUUAUUAUUAUAUUUUUAUAAGUGUAAUGUA